UACGUGGGGUGCGAGCGUUAUUCGGAAUUACUGGGCGUAAAGAGCACGUAGGCGGGCUCGUAUGUCAGUUGUGAAAGCCCUGGGCUCAACCUGGGGACUGCAGCUGAAACUGCGAGUCUUGAGUAUCUGAGAGGAUGGGAGAAUUGCUGGUGUAGUAGUGAAAUACGUAGAUAUCAGCAGGAAUACCUGAGGCGAAGGCGCCUAUCUGGCAGAGUACUGACGCUGAGGUGCGAAAGCGUGGGGAGCAAACAGG
rnacentral:rRNA from 1 species